rnacentral:rRNA from 1 species
GAUGAACGCUGGCGGCGUGCUUAACACAUGCAAGUCGAACGGAAAGGCUCCUGCUUGCCGGGGUACUCGAGUGGCGAACGGGUGAGUAACACGUGGGUGAUCUGCCCUGCACUUCGGGAUAAGCCUGGGAAACUGGGUCUAAUACCGGAUAGGACCACAUUUUGGAUGGUGUGGUGGAAAGUUUUUCGGUGUGGGAUGAGCUCGCGGCCUAUCAGCUUGUUGGUGGGGUAAUGGCCUACCAAGGCGUAGACGGGUAGCCGGCCUGAGAGGGUGUACGGCCACAAUGGGACUGAGAUACGGACCAGACUCCUACGGGAGGCAGCAGUGGGGAAUAUUGCACAAUGGGCGCAAGCCUGAUGCAGCGACGCCGCGUGGGGGAUGACGGCCUUCGGGUUGUAAACUCCUUUCGCUAGGGACGAAGCGCAAGUGACGGUACCUGGAGAAGAAGCACCGGCUAACUACGUG